CAGCGCGGAGCCGCCCGCCCCGCUGCGAUCGCGAAAGUCUCUGCUUGAGCCCCUUAACAUCGGGAUCGGGAGAUUUCGGGAAGCUCGGCCUUGGGCAUGUCGCGUCCACUUAUUUAUUUAUUUGUUUUUGGAAGGGGGUGUCCUUCCUUUUGGCUUCAGUUGGUUUCCAAAGCUGUGGCGCAACUGUCUCAUUUUUUUUCUUCCCUCUCUCUCCCCCUUUGGGAUGAGGGGGCAAACAGGCUCCUCAGUUUUGUCUCCUCUUCGCUGGGAAUAAAACUUGGAAGCGCAGUUGGGAUGUAUGAAGAGCUCCACCUGCCCGGCUCCGGGCUCCUGCUGCCCUUCUUUCACUUUGCGUCCAGGAAUACCUCCAGCUGGGUGGUAUCACCCCAGUUUUUGCCACUUCCUGGGGUUCCUCUGGCACCUCUCCAAUGGAGCAUCCCCAUCCCCAUGAGCAGGUGUCUGAAGUUCUGCUCGCCUUCAAAAGUAGUGCUGAAUUCCCAGGAUGUAAGAAAUACAAUGCAACUCUCAGUGCUGCUGCUGUGUUGGGUGAGGAUGAUCCAAGGGAUGCUCCACGUGUCGGACACAUAGUGUUGGCCAUCCAGUAUCAUGCAGCAAAUGUGAGCUGAUGGUCACAGUUGGGGCUGAAAUCCUUUAUUAAACAAAACAAGAGUCAAGUGAACAAAGAAGGUUGGAGCCGUUCACAAGAUCUUUUGGUUUAUUGCUCAACCUGUCAUAGAAGUCACCUUCUGGGAGCGUAGCCUGGGCUGCCAUGGCUAGCAAAAGAAAGUCAACAACUCCCUGUAUGGUGCGAACCUCUGAAGUGAUGGAGCAGGAAGUCCCAGAGGGUGCAGAAACUGCUAAAGAGAAGGGGCCUGGCACACCACAGCAAGAUGCUAAAAAAACUUGGCCUUCAGAAAGCUCAGUGAAAGAGUNNNNNNNNNNUCGAGGCUAAGCCCUCUGCUGAAAAUCCGUCUAAGAAACCCCAGGGUGGUUAUGAGUGUAAAUACUGCCCUUACUCUACACAGAACUUAAAUGAAUUUACAGAGCAUGUUGACACUCAGCAUCCGAAUGUCAUUCUCAACCCCCUGUAUGUCUGUGCUGAAUGCAACUUCACAACCAAAAAAUAUGAUUCUUUAUCUGACCACAACACAAAGUACCACCCAGGAGAGAGUAACUUUAAACUGAAAUUAAUUAAACGCAAUAACCAGACUGUUUUAGAGCAGUCCAUUGAGACCACCACUAAUGAUGUCACUGUCACGAGCAGUGGGGUGGAAAGUGCAGAGUGUGAGGAUUCACUUCAUGGGGGAA
rnacentral:lncRNA from 1 species